GUAGCCAAGCCCGGAAGGGAUAAACGCUGAAGGCAUCUAAGCGUGAAGCCCCCCUCAAGAUGAGAUAUCCCAUCCGAAAGGAGUAAACCCCCUUGAAGACGACGAGGUUGAUAGGGCAGAGGUGGAAGUGUGGUAACACAUGGAGCUGACUGCUACUAAUAGGGUGAGGGCUUGACCAAGAA
rnacentral:rRNA from 1 species